UCCUCAUAGCUCAGUUGGUAAAUCAUCUGCCUGCAAUGCAGGAGACCCAGGUUCAAUUCCUGGGUCAGGAA
rnacentral:tRNA from 1 species